rnacentral:rRNA from 1 species
AUUGAACGCUGGCGGCAUGCUUUACACAUGCAAGUCGAACGGCAGCGGGGGCUUCGGCCUGCCGGCGAGUGGCGAACGGGUGAGUAAUGCAUCGGAACGUGCCCAUGUCGUGGGGGAUAACGUAUCGAAAGGUACGCUAAUACCGCAUACGUCCUGAGGGGGAAAGCGGGGGAUCUUCGGACCUCGCGCGAUUGGAGCGGCCGAUGUCGGAUUAGCUAGUUGGUGAGGUAAAGGCUCACCAAGGCGACGAUCCGUAGCGGGCCUGAGAGGAUGAUCAGCCAAACUGGGACGGAGACGCGCCCCAGACUCCUACGGGAGGCAGCAGUGGGGAAUGUUGGACAAUGGGCGUAAGCCUGAUCCAGCCAUGCGGCGUGAGUGAAGAAGGCCUUCGGGUUGUAAAGCUCUUUCGGCCGGGAAGAAGUCGUGUUCUCUAACAUAGGGAAUGGAUGACGGUACCGGACUAAGAAGCACCGGCUAACUACGUGCCAGCCGCCGCCGUAACAC